rnacentral:rRNA from 1 species
GACGAACGCGGCGGCGUGCCUAAUACAUGCAAGUAGAACGCUGAAGGAAGGAGCUUGCUCUUUCUGGAUGAGUUGCGAACGGGUGAGUAACGCGUAGGUAACCUGCCUGGUAGCGGGGGAUAACUAUUGGAAACGAUAGCUAAUACCGCAUAAAAUGGAUUAUCGCAUGAUAAUUCAUUGAAAGGUGCAAAUGCAUCACUACCAGAUGGACCUGCGUUGUAUUAGCUAGUUGGUGGGGUAACGGCUCACCAAGGCGACGAUACAUAGCCGACCUGAGAGGGUGAUCGGCCACACUGGGACUGAGACACGGCCCAGACUCCUACGGGAGGCAGCAGUAGGGAAUCUUCGGCAAUGGACGGAAGUCUGACCGAGCAACGCCGCGUGAGUGAAGAAGGUUUUCGGGUCGUAAAGCUCUGUUGUAAGAGAAGAACGAGUGUGAGAGUGGAAAGUCACACU